ensembl:miRNA
UCCCCAGAGUCCUAACACUGAAAUUCAGUGACAUUGAGUUUUGCUUGCUAUGUGUCCGGGGCAGGCACGUGGGAGCAGACAGGACAUGGCAGGA